UACGAAGGGUGCAAGCGUUCAUCGGAAUUACUGGGCGUAAAGCGCGCGUAGGUGGUUCAGCAAGUUGGAUGUGAAAUCCCCGGGCUCAACCUGGGAACUGCAUCCAAAACUACUGAGCUAGAGUACGGUAGAGGGUGGUGGAAUUUCCUGUGUAGCGGUGAAAGGCGGAGAUAGAGGAAGGAAAACCAGUGGCGAAGGCGACCACAUGGACUGAUACUUAAACGGAGUUGCUAACUCUUUGUUCGCCAACAGUAUUCGAUCCCACUGGAGUCC
rnacentral:rRNA from 1 species